GACUCGAUGGCGUAGCGGUGGCGCGUCGGCUGAAAGUGGGGGCGGAACUCUGGAUUAUGCCGAGGACGUCGGUUCGAAUCCGACUCCAGUCA